GAAAGAACUGGGCAUGCUUAUCUCCGCCGUCCUCUUCUUCCUGAGUGAAGUGUACGCAGAAGGCAUGGCUUCUCAGCUGUUCCUCUAAGCAGCGGCUCUUUCCACCCAUCUGGAGAUUUAGAUUCUAGAGUUCGGUAUCACAUUUGCCUGCAGAUUUGUUAAGAAUGCAGGCAGGGAAGACGGAUUCUGUUCAAUGACCCCCUUCAAGACUCCAGUGAAGUUCAGGAUCUGGCAGAGGGGAUGGAUUUAUAUAGAAGUGGGGCAACUGACACACAGAGGUAUUAAGCCCAAGGUCACUCUGUCCAUGAAUGAUGAAGCCAGUUGUGAACAGCCUACAACCAGAGCCUGGGCUCUUAAAUAUCAGGCUUUGCUGGCUUUGAUGAGUAGAUCUUUAUAUGAAGGGUGAGCUCCUUGAAGCAAAGGACAGUGUGUGAAAGACUUCACAUCUCCUGCACCUUGAACAGAAUGCAGAACUUAAGAGUACACACACACACCAAAGUUCACUGAAUGGUUUAAAGAGACCCAAAUCCAUUCUAGAGCUUGCUUUACAUUGUACCAUAUAGUGAGCAACAUUUCCUUAUGAUGAAAGGGUACUUUUCC
rnacentral:lncRNA from 1 species